CGGGACGGGUGAGUAAUGUCUGGGAAACUGCCUGAUGGAGGGGGGUAACUACUGGAAACGGUAGCUAAUACCGCAUAACGUCGCAAGACCAAAGAGGGGGACCUUCGGGCCUCUUGCCAUCGGAUGUGCCCAGAUGGGAUUAGCUAGUAGGUGGGGUAACGGCUCACCUAGGCGACGAUCCCUAGCUGGUCUGAGAGGAUGACCAGCCACACUGGAACUGAGACACGGUCCAG
rnacentral:rRNA from 1 species